ensembl:rRNA 5S_rRNA 5S ribosomal RNA
GUCUAUGAUCAUGCAACCCUGAACAAGCCCAAUCCCGUCUGAUCUCGGAAGUUAAGCGAGUUUGGGCCUGGUUAGUAAUUGGAUGGGAGACCACCUAGGAAGACCAGGUACUGUAGGGG